rnacentral:rRNA from 1 species
GACGAACGCUGGCGGUGUGCUUCACACAUGCAAGUCGAACGGGGUAGCAAUACCUAGUGGCGGACGGGUGAGUAACGCGUGGGAAUCUGCCUUGAAAUGGGGGAUAGCAAGCCGAAAGGUUUAUUAAUACCGCAUAUGAUUACAUCAAGACAUUUUUGUAAUUGAAAGGAGCAAUCCGUUUCAAGAUGAGCCCGCGUCCGAUUAGCUAGUUGGUAGGGUAACGGCCUACCAAGGCGACGAUCGGUAGGUGGUCUGAGAGGAUGAUCACCCACAAUGGGACUGAGACACGGCCCAU